CCUACGGGUGGCAGCAGUGGGGAAUAUUGGGCAAUGGGCGCAAGCCUGACCCAGCAACGCCGCGUGAAGGAAGAAGGCUUUCGGGUUGUAAACUUCUUUUGACAGGGAAGAGUAGAAGACGGUACCUGUCGAAUAAGCCACGGCUAACUACGUGCCAGCAGCCGCGGUAAUACGUAGGUGGCAAGCGUUGUCCGGAUUUACUGGGUGUAAAGGGCGUGUAGGCUGUGAGGUAAGUCAGCGGUGAAAUGUCCCCGCUCAACGGGGUGAAGUGCCAUUGAUACUGCCUUGCUGGAAUGCGGAUGCCGUGGGAGGAAUGUGUGGUGUAGCGGUGAAAUGCAUAGAUAUCACACAGAACACCGAUUGCGAAGGCAUCUCACGAAUCCGCGAUUGACGCUGAUGCACGAAAGCGUGGGUAUCAAACAGGAUUAGAUACCCGGGUAGUC
rnacentral:rRNA from 1 species